AAAUGCGAUAAGUAAUGUGAAUUGCAGAAUUCAGUGAAUCAUCGAAUCUUUGAACACACCUUGCGCUCCUUGGUAUUCCUUGGAGCAUGCCUGUUUGAGUAUCAUGAAAUCUUCAAAGUAAAUCUUUUGUUAACUCAAUUGGUUUCUACUUUGGUAUUGGAGGUCUUUGCAGCUUCACACCUGCUCCUCUUUGUUCAUUAGCUGGAUCUCAGUGUUAUGCUUGGUUCCACUCGGCGUGAUAAGUUAUCUAUCGCUGAGGACACUGUAAAAGGUGGCCAAGGUAAAUGCAGAUGAACCGCUUCUAAUAGUCCAUUGACUUGGACAAUACUUUUAUGAUCUGAUCUCAAAUCAGGUAGGACUACCCGCUGAACUUAAGC
rnacentral:misc_RNA from 1 species